rnacentral:rRNA from 1 species
AUUGAACGCUGGCGGCAGGCUUAACACAUGCAAGUCGAGCGGGGUGAUGGUGCUUGCACUAUCACUUAGCGGCGGACGGGUGAGUAAUGCUUAGGAAUCUGCCUAUUAGUGGGGGACAACAUCUCGAAAGGGAUGCUAAUACCGCAUACGUCCUACGGGAGAAAGCAGGGGAUCACUUGUGACCUUGCGCUAAUAGAUGAGCCUAAGUCGGAUUAGCUAGUUGGUGGGGUAAAGGCCUACCAAGGCGACGAGCUGUAGCGGGUCUGAGAGGAUGAUCCGCCACACUGGGACUGAGACACGGCCCAGGCUCCUACGGGAGGCAGCAGUGGGGAAUAUUGGACAAUGGGGGGAACCCUGACCCAGCCAUGCCGCGUGUGUGAAGAAGGCCUUAUGGUUGUAAAGCACUUUAAGCGAGGAGGAGGCUCUUUUGGUUAAUACCCAAGAUGAGUGGACGUUACUCGCAGAAUAAGCACCGGCUAACUCUGUGCCAGCCGCCGCGGUAA